rnacentral:piRNA from 1 species
UAUAUAAUCUCUAAUGUGUGAAAGCAAAU